rnacentral:rRNA from 1 species
UACGUAGGUGGCAAGCGUUGUCCGGAAUUAUUGGGCGUAAAGCGCGCGCAGGCGGUCCUUUAAGUCUGAUGUGAAAGCCCACGGCUCAACCGUGGAGGGUCAUUGGAAACUGGGGGACUUGAGUACAGAAGAGAAGAGUGGAAUUCCACGUGUAGCGGUGAAAUGCGUAGAGAUGUGGAGGAACACCAGUGGCGAAGGCGACUCUUUGGUCUGUAACUGACGCUGAGGUGCGAAAGCGUGGGGAGCAAACAGG